CUGGGGCACUGGAAGCUUCUUGUUUUGGGUGUUUCUGCUUGGUAUUUACAUAGAAAUGAGAUGGAGCCUGAGUUGUGUUCACGGAGCAGAAAAGCUGAAGACAACAUUUCCAAAAACAUCUUCAGCAGGGACCUCCUGCAGAAUGUCGUGGGGAUGCCGCCCCUUUCAGGGUCCACGGCCAGCUCCGGGCGGGCUCUUGAGCAAUGACCGCCGCUGACAGGGACAGGGAAGGCGGAUCCAGCCCGGCUCGGCACUGACGUUGUUGGGAGCGCUCUCGUUCUCUGGGUCUUGUUUGUUCCCACCUCCCUGGGGCUGCAAGGCUGAAAAUCCAACCUUGGAUUUGCCAUCAGUGCAGCUACGAGUCCCCCAUUUGGCUCUAGCAAAAGUAGAGUAACGGGUGUAGUAAAUGGUGUGUUUGGUAAUUAAUAGAAAGCAAUGGAUCAGGAGAAUAGACAUCUCAUUUGGGGUCAGAAAGGGGAAACAAAACCACUGGACUUCCCAGGAGCUGGAAACGGACUGAUAAUUGGCUAGUGAAAACAAAGAAGCGCGGAUUAUUCCUGAUCAUCAUUCCCUGGGUAAAAGAUGCCAUAAAUCUGCAUCCACUCCACAGAAUCCAGAAUCACGGAGGCUGGAAAAGCCUUCCAGGAUCACUGAGUCCAACCUGUGAUUAAUCCCACCUUGUCAUCCACACCAGAGCCAUGUCCAGUCAUUCCUUGGACGCCUCCAGGAAUGGGAACUCACCAGUCACCUUCUGUCCUCCAGGAACAGCUUCUGAGACAUUUAAACCUUUUUGUUAACACCUAAAAUCAAAAGCUGAAAUGGUACAAGUUGAUUUGGUUUAAAGUGAGAUUAUUGCAAACCAAAUCAUUGUGGUGUGACUGGGAACUUCCCAGAUUGACUUUGUAAGGAAUCCACCAUAAAGUGGAGUAAAGCAAAAAUCCCACUCCUAAACUGUCAGCAAAGGAGGCAGAUUUGCUCAUGAGAUUUCUGUAUCUCUCUCACAGUCCCAGCUGGUUCAUCCCAGGACCUCUGCUUGUGCUCCAACUAUUUAAUUUUUUUGCAGAGUGGGAGCAACUGGGAUCACUGUGAUCAGGAUUCAUCCUCCAACUUCUCUGCUGCCAGAACACCAAAUCUCGGCACUCCCCAGAUUCUGAGAUUGUUAAAGCCAAGCCUAAGGCACAAACAUCCUCUCCUCGUGUCCCUCUUGCCUCCUCCUGAUGUGCUCCAUCACCACCAUCUCCACAGAGGCCAAAGAGGGUUCUUGUUCCUGUAAAUCUGAUCUAGUUUUUGCUGUUGCUGUUGAUUCAAAGGCUGGAUGAGUUUGGUUUUCCCAUUUCUGCUGCUCCUGAGCUAAAAGGCUUGAAAAACUCCUCCUCAUUCAAUGCUAAAGUGCAGAGGUUCAGCAUCUUUAUCUUAUUCCAGGUCAGGCGAGAAGGAGGGGACAGAGAGGCCAGGGAAAGAGUGUCUAGUGACAGACUUAAGAAAAUGUUCUUUAUCUUGGGUUCCUUAUCCAGGCUGCAUGGAAGAAAUGUCUCUUGAGCCUGCCUGGUUUUGUUUGGCUUGUGAUGGUUGGUGUCAGCUUUUGACGUAAAAAAAACAUUUUGGUAACUCUUACACACGGGAAAUAAUGAGCAAGUGGAAAAGCUUAAAUGACAGCCUUGGCUUGGAGAAUAUUUCCUUGUUCCAUUCAUUCUGCUGGGGUUAAUUACCAGCUCAGCUAUUUACUGGGAUGGGUGUUCUUCCUGCUGUGGCUGCAGUUGUGCUGCUGUUCCUGCCUUGUGCUGUAGGGACACGCUGUGGCCAGGACUUCUGAGAGAUUAUUUUUUGAGAGAUGAUUUUCUGGGAGAUGAUUUUCUGAGAGAUGAUUUUCUGGGAGAUGAUUUUCUGAGAGAUGAUUUUCUGAGAGAUGAUUUUCUGGCAGAUGAUUUUCUGAGAGAUGAUUUUCUGGGAGAUUACUUUCUCUCUGUUCCUGUCAGAGUCCCUCUUCCUCCUCUUUCUGCAUUCCAGUGCAGAGAGAUGAUGUGGGAGAAGAAGAAUCCCACUGAAGGAUCUUAAAGCCCAUCCCACUGCAGGUUUUUCCAAGCCUUGUCCACCCUGGUCUUGGAACUUCCAGGGAUGGGGGAGCCACAGCUUCUCUCAGCAAUCUGUGCCAGGCCCAACCCUCACCUUUCUAGUCUAUAAAUUAGGCUCAGGUUGGGUGGGUUGGUGUCAUGAAUCUCUCUUGUUUUAAAAAUGAAUUUAUGGCAGAAUUUUCCCACCCUGCUCAGGAUGGUUGAACUGGAAGAUGCUUGUUAGGAAGGAUGGGGAGGGGUCUGAUGCAGGAGGAGAGUCUCCCUUCUCCUCACGCUGGCCUUCUGGCAGCACACGUUUGUUUUUUGGAGGGGGAACCCUCUGACUUGUCCAUGUGUACCCUGGAUGAUGGAAGAGACCUGGACCGUGCACUCAGCCUGCAUAGAUUUGCUUCUCCCCUUUCUCUUCUUCAUCUCCUCAGCCAUGGUAGGCUUUGGUUUGAUGUCCUGGGUUUGGUUGGGAUGACAUUAAUUUUAUUAAAUUAGUCAACCAAACCCAAGACAUUUAAUAGAAUAAAAUUCCUGGAAUGGUAUUUCUAAAUAUUUUUUUCUUGCUAGAAGAACUUCAUGAAGACAUUGCUCCAGUAUCAACAUGUUUUCUUUGAUUAUUUUUAAUUGAAAUUCCAGUUCCCCAAGUUAUAACGAGUGUUUGAACUUGUUGCUAUUGAAAAGGAAGGGAAAAAUAGGCAAAACAUUCCUUAAGACUAAAAAGGAAAUAAAAAUAAUAAAGUCAAAACAAUCCCCAAGAUUAAAACACAAAAUAAAUAUUGGGAAGACAGGUAGCAAUGCCUUGCCAGGAGAGAAUUUUGAGCUUGUUUUACAGCUUUAAUGAAUGGUUUGAAAAUCAUUUGAGAUUAACGCUUUCCCUUUGCUCCCGAUAUAAAUUUUUUAAGAGCUGUAGCCAGAGAGAGAAAAAUAAAUGCAGCCUUCAUUUCCCUCUUUGGUUUGCUAAUAUACCUCAGAAUAUUUGGGUGUUGGCUCCAGGAGGAGGAGGAGGAAAGGAGCUGCCCUUGUUUUGGAUGAGGCAGGAUCACCUCCCUUUCUUCUCUCUAUUAUUCAGGCUAGUAAAAGUUAAUUAUCCCUCUGAAAUUAGGCAGUCACCUCCUGCUUCCUCAGUCAGGAAUGGGAAGAGUCACCCUUGGUAAUGCUCCGAAUAUUUCAGGCUUCUGUCCGAGCUCAGCCCCAGGCCCCACAGGGACAGCCCAGGCUCGAGUCCUCUCUCACCUGGGGCUGCCUCUGUGUCUGACUUUAAUGGUCAGGGGGGAAGCUCUGGAAAUGCUGGGGCGUGCCAGGCCCCCGCCCCUCUGAGCUGGGAAUGCCUUGCAAAGCCAGUUCCUGUUUGUCCAGGCCAUAAAGGCAGAAAAGGCAGGGGAAGAGCAAUGGGUCAGCUCAACCCGGUGAGGACCAAAGCCCGGCUCCAGGUAGGGGAAGAGCAAUGGGUCAGGUCAGCCAGGUGAGGACCAAAGCCCAGCUCCAAAGCAGGGCUUCCUUCCCCUCCUCUUCCUCGAGAAGCCAUCUUUUUAGCAAACCCAACAGAAAGCCAAGAUGAACCAUGCUGGGUAUGGAUUGUGGAGGGAUGGCCAGGCCUCCUCACAGACACAGGACCCAGGUUUGGAGCUCCAGAGGUUCCUGAACACUUGGCCGAGGCUGAGUGACAUCUGGACACCACAUCAUGAAUCCGUGAUGUUCACACAAUUAAUGGAAGCUGCCUGAUGGGAGGGACUCCUAUUUCCAAAUUCCAUUUGCAAGUGGUAAAUGAAGCAAGCUCGAGUGCAGAAUUCCCCACUGAGGUGAGCUCCAUCCCAUCUGCUUGGAGCCAAUUAAAAUUGAAACUGCUGAACUGGGAUUCCUCGUUGGAGAGAGGGCACAGGUGGAGGACAAGCGUCCACCUCACCCUACCAGGGUCUGACACGCAGCUGGUCAGAGCUGGAUGAAGAAUUUUCCACUCUCAGCACAGAAAUGACAUCCCCUGCCAUUCGCCAAAGGUGCUAAUCUUGUUCCCCGCCUCACCCUUUAAUUGUCCCCUUUUUUCAGGUUGCUAUUAGAAUGUUGUCCUGUGAGAGUGGAGAGAUUACUGGGGCUGUGUGGCCUGUAAUUCUUCCUGGGCUGGAGACAGGAAGAAAUUCCCUGUGAUAAUAACGUCUGCAAGUCCGGCGGGAGAGGCAGGGAGGAUUCCUGGGAAUUUGCAGGCGCCUGGCAUGGGACACCCAUGUUUGGGUUAAUCCCCCUGCCCGGGGCUGCCUCCAGAGCCUGGACGGAUCCCAUUGGUGCAGACAGCCUCAAGCUCAAUGCAUUUCAUGCUAAAUUAUACACCUGUGUUUGGCUGGAUGAAUCACCCCGCGGAAAUGUCAUUUUUUCCAAGAAAUGAAUCCCCAGCAACCCUACUGAGCUCAACGUGGGAGAUUCCAAAACCUGGGCAAAGUCAAUCCCACCUCACUAUGGCCAAGACAUCUCAGUGCUUUUUAUGUCACACAGUUCAAAUAACACUUUGUCAUCACCAAAGCCACUAAAGCCAAGUUUUUGUGUCUGAAACACGUCUCUGAUCUCACAGCCUUGAUCACCAGACCUAUGAGCCCAGAAGGGCACUGCUGAAUUCAUCUUCAUUCAACUGCUCUGACUUAAAAGGAUCCAACAAAUACAUUGUUUAGAGGUUGCAAUAGGUUGGAAAACACUACCCUGUGGUGCUCAGGAUUAUUUUGGAGUUUUCUAAAAAUCUUUGACAUCAAUUGUUAACUGGUCUAUAAAAUAUCUUACGUGAUAUGCUAUGAGGAGAUAAAUAAACCACAGUUACUCCAGUGACACCUGAGCCCCACGAUGUCCCAAACUGCCCACAGAGAAUCCAAAGGUAUCUUUGGUUCUUAUGCUCCCCAGAGUAUUUUUUUCACCUAUUUUGUGGUUUCUUUAAAUACCAUCUAUGGAAAAAUUGAGAGACAAAAGAUGUCCUUUCAAA